rnacentral:rRNA from 1 species
GAUCCUGGCUCAGGAUGAACGCUGGCGGCGUGCCUAACACAUGCAAGUCGAGCGAUCUCUUCGGAGAGAGCGGCGGACGGGUGAGUAACGCGUGGGUAACCUGCCCUGUACACACGGAUAACAUACCGAAAGGUAUGCUAAUACGGGAUAAUAUAUAAGAGUCGCAUGACUUUUAUAUCAAAGAUUUUCCGGUACAGGAUGGACCCGCGUCUGAUUAGCUUGUUGGCGGGGUAACGGCCCACCAAGGCGACG